rnacentral:tRNA from 1 species
GUGGCUGUCGCCAAGCUGGUUAAGGCACAGGAUUGUGGCUCCUGCAUGCGUGGGUUCGAAUCCCAUCAGUCACCCCA